rnacentral:rRNA from 1 species
GAUGAACGCUGGCGGCGUGCCUAAUACAUGCAAGUCGAGCGAACGGACGAGAAGCUUGCUUCUCUGAUGUUAGCGGCGGACGGGUGAGUAACACGUGGAUAACCUACUUAUUAGACUGGGAUAACUUCGGGAAACCGGAGCCACUACCGCCUAAUAUUUUGUACCGCAUGAUUCAAAAGUGAAUGACGGUUUUGCUGUCACUUAUAGAUGGAUCCGCGCUGCAUUAGCUAGUUGGUAAGGUAACGGCUUACCAAGGCAACGAUGCAUAGCCGACCUGAGAGGGUGAUCAGCCACACUGGAACUGAGACACGGUCCAGACUCCUACGGGAGGCAGCAGUAGGGAAUCUUCCGCAAUGGGCGAAAGCCUGACGGAGCAACGCCGCGUGAGUGAAGAAGGUCUUCGGGUCGUAAAGCUCUGUUAUUAGGAAAGAACAGAUGUGUAUGAAACUGUGCACAUCUUGACGGUACCUAAUCAGAAAGCCACGGCUAACUACGUG